rnacentral:tRNA from 1 species
CCGCACGGUCUUCAAAUCCAUGGGGGAGUAUCAGGC